rnacentral:rRNA from 1 species
ACCCUAUAGAGUUUAACACUUAUUUUCUUUAAAAUUUUGUUUGUUUUUGCUGUUAAAUUAGGAUAAGUGUUUUGUUGGGGUGAUGGGAAGAAUGUUUUUAACUCUUCUUUGUUUUUGUAUAUUGAUUUAUAUUUCUUUUGAUCCAUUUAUUUUGAUUAUAAGAUUAAAUUACCUUAGGGAUAACAGCGUUAUCUUCCUUGAGAGUUCUUAUUGGCGGGAAGGUUUGCGACCUCGAUGUUGGAUUAAGGUGAAUUUUCGGUGCAGGAGCUGAAAGUGAUUGGGUCUGUUCGACCUUUAAAAUCUUACAUGAUCUGAGUUCAGACCGGCGUGAGCCAGGUUGGUUUCUAUCUAUAAUAGUUUAUUAUACCUUAGUACGAGAGGACCGGGUAU